rnacentral:lncRNA from 1 species
UCAUCAUUAUCUUGAGAGGAGGUUUUCCCUCUCAAAACAAUCCAGAACUGAAAGAAGUUUCCAGUUCCAAAUAUAAAAUGACCACCAAACACGUACAUUAUGAAAGCUAAAAAAUAAAAGGUGUUAAUCCCAUUAAUAUUGUAAUUCUUAAUGCUCUCUGCUGUCCUGUAGAUUGUCUGCUUGAGGUGGCAUUGUAAUAUUUUAAUGUAAAUGUCUGAAUCAAACACUGAAUUUUGACAUUUUAAAUUUCUCACUUUUUUUUUUCCAGUUGUGACCUUCAGCACCUAUCCAGUGUCUUUUAAGAAUUUUCUCAUCCAGGGAACAGAUUCGUUUGCUUAAUAAUUGUAGAAAUGUGCAGAAUGGUGCCCAACUGUGAGCUGGAAACGGGGAUCGUGCCUGUAGUUUCAACCCAAGCAAAGGGUCUACAGGAGUGUUGGUCACCCAUUGAUUAA